CAACCGAAUCCGGCAACCGUCGAUCAACCCCGGCCCUCAGCUUUUUCCUUACCCAGGCAGGUGCUACGGCCCACGCAUGCGCGCCGCCGCGCAUCAUCAUCAUCUCCCUCCUCUCCUUUGCGCUAGCACGUUUCACAUCACGCGUAUCCGUUCCCCGGCGGCGCAGCACACACCCCUUCGCAACGCCGUAAGAAGGGGCACGCGGACCAACAGCACCGCCGCCGCCGUGAACGUCUCCGCUUACUCCUUCGCUGCGCCACCGCUGACGAACCCCUAUGCGUAUGCGGCUUCGCCGUCCCCAUCCUCGGCACCUUCAAUGCGCACCGUGGGUGUUGCCGCCGCCGCCGCGGCGAUGUCGACAGUGCAUGCCGCAAGCGUGACGAACAGCGGCGCGGCGGCACACACCUGGACGAAUGGUGGCCGUGGUGGCCACGGUGCCGCGCAUGCGCUCACCAACUCUGGCAGAGAUGUCUCUCUCGUGCUUCUGACUGUCGCCUGCACGCUGCUGGUCGUCACAAUUGUGCUGCUGAUCGUUGGUGUUCGCCUCCUCAAGCGGUUCGCGGCAGCUGUAGCAGCAGCGGAAGGUGCAAGGGGCCAGGACAUUCUUAGCAACAACCUGAGUGCUGGUGAGGCCGCGGCGUACAUUAGUGUCGGCAUCGUCGACGACGACGACGAAGCAGCCUUGCACACCGACAACGGUGACAGCCGCACACAGCUUGUGGAAUAUGCCGAUGAGCGGGAACCCCUACUGCAUCACGUACGUGGCCGCGGCGGCGGAGCUGGUCGUCAUCGCCGCAGUGCUAGUCGCCAGCACCAGCAGCCUGGUCGACGCACAACCUUGGCCGUCUUCGAAGCACUCAGCAUUCUUCUCGGUGUCUCCUCCACGCCCCCCACCGCGGACGCUAGCAGCCAUGGAGCUGCGGCGGCGCCGCGACGCCGGUCGAGAAGCUGUCAGGCAGGGAGCUCAGCAGUGCCCACUCCCGAAAAUCAGCCAGCAUUGCGCAGCUCACCACAGCAGCAGCGCCACGCUGGGCGUCGUGCCGUCCCCGACGCGUUGGCCGCGGACGAGAACUCGAGGGGCGCCUUCCGUUCAGGGCCGCAGCCCACCUGGCACAGCAACGGCUCACUGAGCCGGAGCGGCGCGGCGCGCAAGUGUGACGAAGCUGCCGUCGCGCCGGCGUCCGCCUCCCCAGCACCCGCGUCGCACCCGGCCGCUGCGCCUGGGUCGUCGGCCGCACCUGCCACCGCCGAUCACGGCGCCACCCCACCCAGCGGCAAUGCUCAGCUGCCAGUCUUUACCACGACCACCGAGAAGGACAUGGUGGUGUACAACACGACGCACAACUCGCGCUACCGCCUCCUGCAGCGCAUUGGCAUAGGCGCCUUCUCCUCUGUCUAUCUGGUGCAGCACAAGACGACGGGCAAGCAGUACGCGCUCAAGUACAUCUUGUGCAAGGGCGACCGCGAGCGACUGGCGGCGCUGCGCGAGUGCGAAGUGAUCUACAGCCUACAAGGGCACCCGCAGGUGAUCCGUAUUGUGGACAUGUUUAUGAGCUACCAGUUCCAACGUGCAUCGCCGUCGCCCACCGUCGCCGGCUCUCCUACCGCAGCCGCGACUAACUCCGCAUGUAAAGAGCAAGCGUCUGGUCAGCAGGGCUUGCGGUCGUUUCCUGGUGUCCCACCAAGCGCGCCGGCAGCACCCGCCGCCGCCCUCGCACCCUCCGCGAUUGCAACGCCGGCGUUGGCGCCGGCCUCUGCCGCUCCGGCGAGCACGUACACCACGUCGGUCGCGGGGCGGCUCAAGGGACUCAACGACGCUGCGUUGACGAAGGCGGCGAUGGAAAGCUCCACCGAGUCCCGCGCAGCAGCGCACAGCGAGGCUGACGAUGGUCACGUGGAUUUCAGCUGCGUGGACAGAGACAGGUAUAGCGAGGGGCACUGGCGCGGCAGCCGUCCGCGCGUGCGCCCAUCCGUCGAAGGAGUAGCCUGUGGUGCCUGCAUGGUCAACGUUGAUCAUGCCAGCGAUGUGGAAAAUGAAGAGAGUGCCUACAGUGAGCACCAGCAGCCACAGCAGCCAGGCAAACUGUCCAUGCGCGCGUCCUCCGUGUGCUGCCCACGUCCGCUUCCGCACAGCGUGCAGCACACGAGUCAAAGUAGCAGCAGCGUCCAUCCUACCCUCAGCGCCGCCGCUUCGGCGUCGACAGCGCCGGCCACCGCCUCGUCCUCUUCUGCGCUUGCUGGAAGCAGCUACGUACCGGCGCAGCUGUGCGCAGCCGCCGGUGGAGGUGCACAAGGGUGCGGGCACGUACCUUCGCAGUCUGCUCAUCAUUCAUCGACCACAGCGUCGGCGGCUCGUGCUGCCGCCACCGGUUCAUUGUACCCACCUCGUGAUGAGGCGCACGCCGACCAGCCCGACUUGUGCUGUCACGCGAUCGACGUUCCAGAUGCGGUCGUACAUGACGAGAGCGACGCCACCGCCCCAGUCCAUGCUUCGGCGAGGUGCUGCGCCGCGCACAGCACGACCACCACCGCGACAUCGAUGCACCCCUGCUUUCCAUCGACGGCGCGAAACGCUACGGUGAGUCGAAGCAGCGAAGCCGGUCAUGAGCCUGGCACCCUUGAGGACUGCGAUGGCGGCGAUGGUGUUUACAGCGGCAGUGACAGCAGGAGAAGAGCGGAACAAGGGCAGAGCGCGACGAGAGAAAGGGUCAAGCCAGCCUUGCAGUCGCGCAGGGCGUCGUCGGAGGACCGCGGCUCGGACGGGGCGGACGACGGUCAUGCUGAUAUCGAGGCGGGCAGAGAGGAGCGGCGGACAGAACUGCGCGGUGAUGCCGACGCCGAUGAAAUGCACAGCUGCAAAGGCAGCGAUGCGCGCUCCGGUGCCACCAGCUCCAGCGGUGCGGACGAAGAGCCCAUCCAGCCGAUCCACCGCAUCUUCGUGCCGCCGCCGUACAUGUACCCACCGUUAAACGGAAUGGCUGCUGCGCCGAGAAGCUGCAGCAUCUGCAGCAACAACAACGUGAGCUACGUAGGCACUGGCAAUGGUGCCGCCUCGGUGUUGCGGCCGCAGAGCCGGACCUGUGCGACAGGUGGGGAAAGCCCCACCUCGCACCACCCGUACUCCGCCUUUCCGACCGCCGCAGCCGGCGGAGCACUGGCAGUCGUGGGACCAGAGACGGCAAACGGCAGCACUGCGCCCGCUCCGGUGCGGCGCAUCCCUGAAAGACCAGACGUCGGGUCGCUGUCAGCAACCGCAUCUCCUCCACCGUUCGCCGCCGCUUCCGCCUCGCUCACGUCCUCGUCGCCGUCGCCGUCGGCGGCCGUGAACCUGCGUCACACAGCCGGUAGCCUUGUCAGCACGUCCACCCUUCCGCACCAGCAGCAGCAGCAGCACCCGCAGCCCAUCCCGUCGUCUGUGACCUCGUACGCCCCUGCUCGUGCUGCCGUCUCAUCUGCAGACGUCAAGAGCGCCGCGACCGGUGCGCCUGCAGUGCAAGCCCCGAUCCGGUACAAGGACUUUGUGCUGUCGCCCACCACCGUCACUGCACAUGCCGCCGCAUCGUGGACACCGGUGCCAGCGACGCAGGCAAACGCCCUUGUAGAUGGGCAGACGCACCGGCAGCCGGCCGACCGCGGUGGGAGUCCCGCUCCGCCGCCAUGCGCCGCCUCCGAGAGGGUAGGCUCAGGAGCUGCGGGAGCUGGUGCCACUGGGCUGACAGUGGCUCGUCCAACUGAUGAGUGUGUGAACCCCUACCUAGAGCGUGCCCGCGGCCGCGAACCGGUGCCGCCGCCGCGCACGUCGUACGCACCAGGUGGCGGAGUACGCUACAACAGCCUCACUGUGCCGUAUGUCGCGGCCCCGACGACGUUGCAGGCCGCGGCGAAGGGGUUUCCCGCUCAAUCUAGCAGCCCCUCCUCUUCACUGACGCUGAGCGCAAGCGGCACCGGCGUCAGCGCCUCCGACGAGCGUAAGGCGGGCGCAGGACAAGGACGGCGCUUCGAGGUAACGGGCGCGGACAGCAGCUCACAGGACUCAGACGCAUCGAUGCCCGCGUCCCAGGCCGCACGCCUCACCGCUUCGCGGUCUUUGCCGAGUACUGCCCCGGCGGCGGCGACGGUGGUGCGCAACACGUACGCGCCGCUUCGGUACGGCAACGUGGUUCAGUCCAAUGCAGCGUCACCGGCCACGUCUAGCAUGGCAAGCUCCUCUCUCAUGCCGCCACCGUCACCUUCACUGCAGAAGCAGCUGCCGCAACCACCUUCAGCGGCUUGCCCUGCUGCUGCUGCACCGACGGUGGGCAGUGGCCGUCUCAGCGUGUGUGGCGUCCUUCGGACGGCGCGUGCGGGUCAGCAGGGAGAGCGUGGGGAUUGGGAUGACGGCAAGCCCCGCGUGAGCGCGUCGUGGCCCGCAAAAGACGCUGGGUUGGUGUCAACGCAAGCACCACCGCUGCUUCCGCUACCCGGUCUGGCGAACCAGACCAGUGGCGCGUACUUUCUUCGGUCGGUUGGUCGCGUUAACGGCGCUGGCGCCGUGCCGCGCGCGGCAACACCCCGCGCUCCGUACGGGGAGGGGCGACCGCCCGCGGCGGCCGCGGCCCAGGAUGAGGCCCCAUCCCCUACAAGGCCUCUGUACACGAACCUUGGUGUUCUUAUCGCCGGCCCCAGCAUGACCGCCGACCCCGCGACCGCCACGACAACGCACGUGCUCCGCACUGGCGUGCAGCCACCAUCGCCGCGGCAUCCCCGAUCGAACUCCUACGCCGGCGAUGAUGCCGACAGGAAGCGGCAGCGCGGCUACAGCAACGUCGGAUUAACUGGCGCGGCACCGUCUGAAGUGCGGUACACCAACGCUGGGAGCCCGAACCUGUGGAACGCGUACAACGCGGGCGCGUCCCCGGCGAGCGCGGCGUCCGCUGCUGCCGUUGCCGCGCUGACGGGCUUGUCGCCCAGAAUCGGUGCGAAAACCCCCACAGCCGCCUGCGCCGGGGAGAGUAACAUAAACGACGGCAAGAGCAGCAAGACGACACAUACGAACAGCAGCAGCAGUCACCUGCAAGAUGUCUGUGACACCGGCUAUCUGUGCCUCGUAAUGGAGCACCACCCUAUGGGCGACCUCUGCCGGUACGCGCUGCGCGCCCAGCAUGAACUGGAGAUGCGGCGCCACCGCCAGAAGCAGUCCCAGUCGCAGGCACUGGCACGCAGCAGUUUGAUGAGCGUGGGCAUCUUGCAGCCCAUCACGUCACCGGCAACAGCGACGACGCAAAGCAGGACGUGUACGUCCGAGCGAAGCUCUGCUCAGCAACCGCAAGCCCCCACGAAGAACGCGACCGAGCGCGACGGCGGUGGCACGGGGGCGGAGGCAGGGGAGUCGACCUCACCGCUUUCUCUUCGCCCCUUAUCGCUCACGCAUGGUGGGGCAGCGGGGUCAGCAGCGGCGGCCUUGUCACUGCUGGCGGCCGCCGCAGAUGCCACCUGGACGGUGAAGGUGGCUAUGAGCCGAACGGACCUCCACCCGGCGCUCUCGGCCGGAGUCGGCGGUCGUGGUAACACCUCUGGAAGCCAUACCGCCGGCGGCACCGAUGGUGACGAGCGCGCCACCGACUUCGAUACCCAGCGAGCAGCCUCUGUUGCGGUCGAUCCCACAAGUGAAAACCCCCUCACCGAGGCGCAGCUGCUCUCCAUCGCGUAUCAGCUUGCCUCGGUGCUCGAUCACAUGCAUCAGCAGAACCCGCCCAUCGUUCACCGUGACUUGAAGCCCGAGAACAUCCUAAUCAAAGGCGAGCUCAUCGACUACCUCGACCUGCCUCUCUCCGCCGUUUUGGCGAGCACUAACAACACCGUGCACUGCGGUGGCAAGGACGAUGCCUUGGGCAAGUCCUCUGUGUCUCCGAUGACGCCGCCCUUCGCAACCCCGGCCGCAGUCAUCGAUGCCGCCGCCAGUUCUUUGACGUCGCUGCCGCCGAUCCGAAUCACGCGCGCUGUGGUGCCCAUUGUUCUCAUCGAUUUUGGUCUUGCAAUCCUACAAGACACCCACGGCCGCUCGCACGGCAGCCGCGGCGGUGGCACCCGCCCGUACAUCGCACCAGAGAGCUGGAAGGGCGACACGUGCACGGCUAGUGACGUGUGGAGUCUCGGCUGUGUGCUGUACGCACUCGCCACGUGCCGUCUCGUUGCCGAGGACGUUCGGAUCAUGUCUCAGGAGGCGAAGCGGGACGGGUUUGCCUCGCGCAUGCUGAAAGACAUCAUCGCGCACAAGUACUCCCUGGCCUUCGCGAGUUUUGUCGUGUCGCUGCUUGUCGUCGAUCCGGCAAAGAGGCCGACGGCGGCGCAGGCGGCGCGGUGCUUCUGCGUCGCAGACGGCGACAUCUGCUUCGACCUCAGCAGCCCAUUCUUCAGCAACGUGCUCGAUCUCUAGCAUGCGUGCGUGGGCGUGUGUCUGUCUCGGUGCGGGGCGCGGGCGACACACGCAGGACCUCACCAAUGAGCCUUGCACAGCACAACAGC
rnacentral:misc_RNA from 1 species